rnacentral:rRNA from 1 species
CGAGGGGCAGCAUUUUAGUUUGCUUGCAACUGAAGAUGGCGACCGGCGCACGGGUGAGUAACACGUAUCCAACCUGCCGAUAACUCUGGAAUAGCCUUUCGAAAGAAAGAUUAAUACCGGAUGGCAUACGAAUAUCGCAUGAUAUUUUUAUUAAAGAAUUUCGGUUAUCGAUGGGGAUGCGUUCCAUUAGUUUGUUGGCGGGGUAACGGCCCACCAAGACAACGAUGGAUAGGGGUUCUGAGAGGAAGGUCCCCCACAUUGGAACUGAGACACGGUCCAAACUCCUACGGGAGGCAGCAGUGAGGAAUAUUGGUCAAUGGGCGAGAGCCUGAACCAGCCAAGUAGCGUGAAGGAUGAAGGCUCUAUGGGUCGUAAACUUCUUUUAUAUGGGAAUAAAGUUUUCCACGUGUGGAAUUUUGUAUGUACCAUAUGAAUAAGGAUCGGCUAACUCCGUGCCAGCAGCCGCGGUAAUACGGAGGAUCCGAGCGUUAUCCGGAUUUAUUGGGUUUAAAGGGAGCGUAGGUGGAUUGUUAAGUCAGUUGUGAAAGUUUGCGGCUCAACCGUAAAAUUGCAGUUGAAACUGGCAGUCUUGAGUACAGUAGAGGUGGGCGGAAUUCGUGGUGUAGCGGUGAAAUGCUUAGAUAUCACGAAGAACUCCGAUUGCGAAGGCAGCUCACUAGACUGUUACUGACACUGAUGCUCGAAAGUGUGGGUAUCAAACAGGAUUAGAUACCCUGGUAGUCCACACAGUAAACGAUGA